rnacentral:rRNA from 1 species
AUGGUCCAGACAAGGAAAAAACCCCAACUGGACCAACUAACAACCAGGGAAACCAAUACACAACUAAACCGUACAAUCUAUUAUGAUUUCUACACAAUUGGAAGGCCACGGGCGCACCGCAGCCAUCUAGUGUCCUCUACAUCAAGGGCGGCUCAGCCUGGAUGUACAGGCAACAAUAAAUGGUGGAUAGGAAGCCUGGCAUGGAAGAAGAAGGAAGGAAACUUCAGCAGCCCAAGAGAGCAUCGACUGGCCUCCUUUUCGGGUGAGCACAGCUCACGGCACGAUAUGAUCAUCAUCUGGGGGGAAAUAAGUUAA